rnacentral:rRNA from 1 species
CGGCGUGCUUAACACAUGCAAGUCGAACGGAAAGGCCCUGCUUUUGUGGGGUGCUCGAGUGGCGAACGGGUGAGUAACACGUGAGUAACCUGCCCUUGACUUUGGGAUAACUUCAGGAAACUGGGGCUAAUACCGGAUAGGAGCUCCUGCUGCAUGGUGGGGGUUGGAAAGUUUCGGCGGUUGGGGAUGGACUCGCGGCUUAUCAGCUUGUUGGUGGGGUAGUGGCUUACCAAGGCUUUGACGGGUAGCCGGCCUGAGAGGGUGACCGGCCACAUUGGGACUGAGAUACGGCCCAGACUCCUACGGGAGGCAGCAGUGGGGAAUAUUGCACAAUGGGCGGAAGCCUGAUGCAGCAACGCCGCGUGCGGGAUGACGGCCUUCGGGUUGUAAACCGCUUUCGCCUGUGACGAAGCGUGAGUGACGGUAAUGGGUAAAGAAGCACCGGCUAACUACGUGCCAGCAGCCGCGGUGAUACGUAGGGUGCGAGCGUUGUCCGGAUUUAUUGGGCGUAAAGGGCUCGUAGGUGGUUGAUCGCGUCGGAAGUGUAAUCUUGGGGCUUAACCCUGAGCGUGCUUUCGAUACGGGUUGACUUGAGGAAGGUAGGGGAGAAUGGAAUUCCUGGUGGAGCGGUGGAAUGCGCAGAUAUCAGGAGGAACACCAGUGGCGAAGGCGGUUCUCUGGGCCUUUCCUGACGCUGAGGAGCGAAAGCGUGGGGAGCGAACAGGCUUAGAUACCCUGGUAGUCCACGCUGUAAACGGUGGGUACUAGGUGUGGGGUCCAUUCCACGGGUUCCGUGCCGUAGCUAACGCUUUAAGUACCCCGCCUGGGGAGUACGGCCGCAAGGCUAAAACUCAAAGGAAUUGACGGGGCCCCGCACAAGCGGCGGAGCAUGCGGAUUAAUUCGAUGCAACGCGUAGAACCUUACCUGGGUUUGACAUGGAUCGGGAGUGCUCAGAGAUGGGUGUGCCUCUUUUGGGGUCGGUUCACAGGUGGUGCAUGGCUGUCGUCAGCUCGUGUCGUGAGAUGUUGGGUUAAGUCCCGCAACGAGCGCAACCCUUGUUCACUGUUGCCAGCACGUUAUGGUGGGGACUCAGUGGAGACCGCCGGGGUCAACUCGGAGGAAGGUGGGGAUGACGUCAAGUCAUCAUGCCCCUUAUGUCCAGGGCUUCACGCAUGCUACAAUGGCUGGUACAGAGAGUGGCGAGCCUGUGAGGGUGAGCGAAUCUCGGAAAGCCGGUCUCAGUUCGGAUUGGGGUCUGCAACUCGACCUCAUGAAGUCGGAGUCGCUAGUAAUCGCAGAUCAGCAACGCUGCGGUGAAUACGUUCCCGGGGCUUGUACACACCGCCCGUCAAGUCAUGAAAGUUGGUAACACCCGAAGCCGGUGGCCUAACCGUUGUGGGGGAGCCGUCGAAGGUGGGACUGGUGAUUAGGACUAAGU